CAACCGGUGGAGCAUGUGGUUUAAUUAGAAGCAACGCGAAGAACCUCCCCAGGUCUUGACAUCCUUUGUCCACUCUAGAGAUAGAGCUUCCCCUUCGGGGGCAAAGUAACAGCUGGUGCAUGGUGGUCGUCAGCUCGUGUCGUGAGAUGUUGGGUUAAGUCCCGCAACGAGGGCAACCCUCAUUGUUAGUAGCCAUCAUUCAGUUGGGCACUCUAGCAAGACUGCCGGUGACAACCCGGAGGAAGGUGGGGAGGACGUCAAAUCAUCA
rnacentral:rRNA from 1 species